AUUGAACGCUGGCGGCAUGCCUUACACAUGCAAGUCGAACGGCAGCGCGGACUUCGGUCUGGCGGCGAGUGGCGAACGGGUGAGUAAUACAUCGGAACGUACCCUGUUGUGGGGGAUAACUAGUCGAAAGAUUAGCUAAUACCGCAUACGACCUGAGGGUGAAAGUGGGGGACCGCAAGGCCUCACGCAGCAGGAGCGGCCGAUGUCUGAUUAGCUAGUUGGUGGGGUAAAGGCCCACCAAGGCGACGAUCAGUAGCUGGUCUGAGAGGGCGAUCAGCCACACUGGGACUGAGACACGGCCCAGACUCCUACGGGAGGCAGCAGUGGGGAAUUUUGGACAAUGGGGGCAACCCUGAUCCAGCAAUGCCGCGUGUGUGAAGAAGGCCUUCGGGUUGUAAAGCGCUUUUGUCCGGAAGGAAAUCGCGCUGGUUAAUACCUGGCGUGGAUGACGGUACCGGAAGAAUAAGCACCGGCUAACUACGUGCCAGCCGCCGCCGUAA
rnacentral:rRNA from 1 species